rnacentral:rRNA from 1 species
UACGUAGGGGGCAAGCGUUGUCCGGAAUCAUUGGGCGUAAAGCGCGUGUAGGCGGCCCGAUAAGUCCGCUGUGAAAGUCCAGGGCUCAACCCUGGAAUGCCGGUGGAUACUGUCGGGCUAGAGUCCGGAAGAGGCGAGUGGAAUUCCUGGUGUAGCGGUGAAAUGCGCAGAUAUCAGGAGGAACACCAAUGGCGAAGGCAGCCCCCUGGGCUGACACUGACGCUCAGGCACGAAAGCGUGGGGAGCAAACAGG